GCUUGCAGCUAGCUCUCUGCAAGUCUCAUAUGGUCGCUCACUGCUAAGCUAAGCAGGGCUGUCCCAGUCAGUACCGGGAUGCGUGACCAUAUGGGAAAACUAGGUUGCUGCCGGAA
ensembl:rRNA 5S_rRNA 5S ribosomal RNA